GAUGAACGCUGGCGGCGUGCUUAACACAUGCAAGUCGAACGAUGAAGCCCAGCUUGCUGGGCGGAUUAGUGGCGAACGGGUUAGUAACACGUGAGUAACCUGCCCUUGACUCUGGGAUAAGCCCGGGAAACUGGGUCUAAUACCGGAUAGGAGCGCCUGUCGCAUGACGGGUGCUGGAAAGAUCUUUCGGUCAUGGAUGGACUCGCGGCCUAUCAGCUUGUUGGUGAGGUAACGGCUCACCAAGGCGACGACGGGUAGCCGGCCUGAGAGGGUGACCGGCCACACUGGGACUGAGACACGGCCCAGACCCCUACGGGAGGCAGCAGUGGGGAAUAUUGCACAAUGGGCGAAAGCCUGAUGCAGCGACGCCGCGUGAGGGAUGACGGCCUUCGGGUUGUAAACCUCUUUCAGCAGGGAAGAAGCGAAAGUGACGGUACCUGCAGAAGAAGCACCGGCUAACUACGU
rnacentral:rRNA from 1 species